rnacentral:rRNA from 1 species
UACGUAGGUGGCAAGCGUUGUCCGGAAUUAUUGGGCGUAAAGCGCGCGCAGGCGGUCCUUUAAGUCUGAUGUGAAAGCCCACGGCUCAACCUGGAGACGCCACCUGAUACUGGUGUGACUCGAGUCCGGUAGGGGAGCGUGGAAUUCCUGGUGUAGCGGUGAAAUGCGCAGAUAUCAGGAGGAACACCAGCGGCGAAGGCGGCGCUCUGGGCCGGAACUGACGCUGAGGAGCGAAAGCGUGGGUAGCAAACAGG